GCGUUUCACUCGAGAUGCAUUCCAUAAAUCAGAAAAAUUAAAUGCAUUUUUUUACAUUUAAAUGUUCAUUUAAUGCAUUUUUUGAGCGUGCGCGGUUUGCGAAUAUACAAAUACACUCAUGCGCAACUAAAUGUCAAAUUCGUCGCGCGGUUUAAGAUCGUAAACAAAACAAAACUUUUCCGAAAUCGGUUGGUUUUUCGUUUUUUGGCUUUUAAGGUGAAGAAAUAUGAGGAGUUAUUGGAGACCAUAGAUCGCCGAUGCAAGUCAGACCGUGGGCGUCACGGAAACGAAUUCGCAGUUCCCUCGCUGCCGCUGCUUUGGGAUGACGGAAACCAAAAACCGCUGUUCUAAUGCGCUCUCAGCGACAUAAGUUCCAGCAGCAGUUCCUUUUUCCAGAUUACGAUGAGCCACUAGCGGAAAAAGAAGAGAGAGAAGAUAUCGAAGCAGCGGAGGAAGAUUUUCUCGUCAGGCAUAUACGAGCGUGAGCUUUGCUGAUGGGGAUCUUGAUGAUGCAGGGACAUUGGACAUGGCUUACCGGAAGGCCAAGAAGAAACAAUGCAGCCGGAAGAAGGGAAAUGUAGAUGAAAAACAAGGACUACCGGAAGAACCAUGAGGAAUCGCUAGAGGUAAGAUGUUCUCGGAAGUCAUCAGCACCUCAAGAUCAUCACUCUCACGGUGGGCAACCUGAGGAGGAUCCUCGGCAACGACAAAAAGGCACUAUGGGGACCUGAGGCUCGGGCCCAACAAUGCCGUACUGCUGAUAUACGAAAGUUGUAUCUGCUAACCAUGACUGUGUAAAAACCAUAUCUGCGAUUACCUAACCACCUGCUCUAAUCAUCAUCAUAUAUGGAUCAUCCCGAAACGCAUGCUGCUUUUAUAAAUAGUAUUACAAUUAUUGUGACAAUUAUUAUUAUCAAUAAACAACAAUGUAGGGCUUGGGAGGGGAGGGGGAUUGCGUUGCUGGGCUGUUUUAACUAUCCGAAGUACAAAGGCUCUGAUCAAGGUAAGUGAUAGUAGCUAGACAUUAUUAACUUCUUUCUUAAACUUCAAGAGAAGUUACAUAGCUCCAUAAAUGUUUCAUUACUUAGUACAUAGUUACUUGUACUAAGAAUUUUCAAUUAUUUAGGUGCACCAUGUCCAUGGUGACGCAAAAUAUAGCUCAUUGUGAAGUAGGCCAUUCUAAUGUUUCUUCUGAGAUUUUUCAGCGUAGUUUAUGCUAAACUCGUUGUCCAGAAGGUUUACCAAGUCCUCUAAGGUUGCGAGGUAACGUAAAAUGUGUCGUCAGAACUUGUAGUUCAGGAGGUUUACCAAGUCCUCUGAAGUUACGAGGUAACGCGGAAUGUGUCUUCAGAACUUGUAGUUCAGGAGGUUUACCAGGUCCUCUAAAGUUACGAGGUAACGCGGAAUGUGUCUACAGAACUUGUAGUUCAGGAAGUUUACCAAGCCCCCCUAAAAAGCUCAUUUAAAAGUAGGCCAUCUACUGUUUCUUUUGGGAUUUCUCAGCGUAGUUUAUGCUAACAGUCCUUAUAUAUUCUAAACUCGUUGUCCAGAAGGUUUACCAAGUUCUCAAAGGUUGCGAGGUAACGUAAAAUAUGUCGUCAGAACUUGUAGUUCAGAAGGUUUACCAAGUCCUCUAAAGCUGCGAGGUUACGCAAAAUGUGUCUUCAGAACUUGUAGUUCAGGAGGUUUACCAGGUCCUCUAAAGUUACGAGGUAACGCGGAUUGUGUCUACUGAACUUAUAGUUCAUGAAAGUUACCAAGCCCCCCUAAAAAGCACAUUGUGAAGUAGGCCAUUCUACUGUUUCUUUCUAACAGUCCUUAUAUAUUCUGAACUCGUUGUCCAGAAGGUUUACCAAGUCCUCUAAAGUUACGAGGUAACGCGGAAUGUGUCUUUAGAACUUGUAGUUCAGGAGGUUUACCAAGUCCUCUAAAGCUGCGAGGUAACGCAAAAUGUGUCCUCAGAACUUGUAGUUCAGGAGGUUUACCAAGUCCUCUAAAGCUGCGAGGUAACGCAAAAUGUGUCUUCAGAACUUGUAGUUCAGGAGGUUUACCAAGUCCUCUGAAGUUACGAGGUAACGCGGAAUGUGUCUUCAGAACUUGUAGUUCAGGAGGUUUACCAGGUCCUCUAAAGUUACGAGGUAACGCGGAUUCUGUCUACUGAACUUACUUUUAGGAAGCCCCCGAAAAUUGGAUGGUGACGCAAAAUAUAGCUCAUUGUGAAGUAGGCCAUUCUAAUGUUUCUUUUGGGAUUUUUCAGCGUAGUUUAUGCUAACAAUCCUUAUAUAUUCUAAACUCGUUGUCUAGAAGGUUUACCAAGUCCUCUAAGGUUGCGAGGUAAUGUAAAAUGAGUCGUCAGAACUUGUAGUUCAGAAGGUUUACUAAGUCCUCUAAAGCUGCGAGGUAACGCAAAAUGUGUCUUCAGAACUUGUAGUUCAGGAGGUUUACCAAGUCCUCUAAAGCUGCGAGGUAACGCAAAAUGUGUCUUCAGAACUUGUAGUUCAGGAGGUUUACCAGGUCCUCUAAAGUUACGAGGUAACGCGGAUUGUGUCUACUGAACUUAUAGUUCAUGAAAGUUACCAAGCCCCCCUAAAAAGCUCAUUGUGAAGUAGGCCAUUCUACUGUUUCUUUCUAACAGUCCUUAUAUAUUCUGAACUCGUUGUCCAGAAGGUUUACCAAGUCCUCUAAGGUUGCGAGGUAACGCAAAAUGUGUCUUCAGAACUUGUAGUUCAGGAGGUUUACCAAGUCCUCUAAAGCUGCGAGGUAACGCAAAAUGUGUCUUCAGAACUUGUAGUUCAGGAGGUUUACCAAGUCCUCUAAAGUUACGAGGUAACGCGGAAUGUGUCUUCAGAACUUGUAGUUCAGGAGGUUUACCAGGUCCUCUAAAGUUACGAGGUAACGCGGAUUGUGUCUACUGAACUUACUUUUAGGAAGCCCCCCGAAAAUUGGAUGGUGACGCAAAAUAUAGCUCAUUGUGAAGUAGGCCAUUCUAAUGUUUCUUUUGGGAUUUUUCAGCGUAAUUUAUGCUAACAAUCCUUAUAUAUUCUAAACUCGUUGUCCAGAAGGUUUACCAAGUCCUCUAAGGUUGCGAGGUAACGUAAAAUGUGUCGUCAGAACUUGUAGUUCAGGAGGUUUACCAAGUCCUCUAAAGUUACGAGGUAACGCGGAAUGUGUCUUCAGAACUUGUAGUUCAGAAGGUUUACCAGGUACUCUAAAGUUACGAGGUAACGCGGAUUGUGUCUACUGAACUUACUUUUAGGAAGCCCCCGAAAAUUGGAUGGUGACGCAAAAUAUAGCUCAUUGUGAAGUAGGCCAUUCUAAUGUUUCUUUUGGGAUUUUUCAGCGUAGUUUAUGUUAACAAUCCUUAUAUAUUCUAAACUCGUUGUCCAGAAGGUUUACCAAGUUCUUUAAGGUUGCGAGGUAACGUAAAAUGAGUCGUCAGAACUUGUAGUUCAGAAGGUUUACCAAGUCCUCUAAAGCUGCGAGGUAACGCAAAAUGUGUCUUCAGAACUUGUAGUUCAGGAGGUUUACCAAGUCCUCUAUAGCUGCGAGAUAACGCAAAAUGUGUCUUCAGAACUUGUAGUUCAGGAGGUUUACCAAGUCCUCUAAAGUUACGAGGUAACGCGGAUUGUGUCUACUGAACUUGUAGUUCAGGUAGUUUACUUUUAGGAAGCCCCCCGAAAAUUGGAUGGUGGCGCAAAAUAUAGCUCAUUGUGAAGUAGGCCAUUCUAAUGUUUCUUUUGGGAUUUUUCAGCGUAGUUUAUGCUAACAAUCCUUAUAUAUUCUAAACUCGUUGUCCAGAAGGUUUACCAAGUCCUCUAAGGUUGCGAGGUAACGUAAAAUGAGUCGUCAGAACUUGUAGUUCAGAAGGUUUACCAAGUCCUCUAAAGCUGCGAGGUAACGCAAAAUGUGUCUUCAGAACUUGUAGUUCAGGAGGUUUACCAGGUCCUCUAAAGUUACGAGGUAACGCGGAUUGUGUCUACUGAACUUAUUGUAGUUCAGGAAGUUUACUUUUAGGAAGCCCCCCGAAAAUUGGAUAGUGACGCAAAAUAUAGCUUAUUGUGAAGUAGGCCAUUCAUAUGUUUCUUUUGGGAUUUUUCAGCGUAGUGAACUACUUAAGUCCUCUAAAGCUGCGAGGUAACGCAAAAUGUGUCGUCAGAACUUGUAGUUCAGGAGUUUUACCAAGUCCUCUAAAGCUGCGAGGUAACGCAAAAUGUGUCUUCAGAACUUGUAGUUAAGAAGGUUUACCAGGUCCUCUAAAGUUACGAGGUAACGCGGAAUGUGUCUACAGAACUUGUAGUUGAGGAAGUUUACCAAGCCCCCCUAAAAAGCUCAUUGUGAAGUACGCCAUUCUACUGUAUCUUUUGGGAUUUUUUAGCGUAGUUUACGCUAAAAAUCCUUAUAUAUUCUGAACUCGUCGUCCAGAAGGUUUACCAAGUCCUCUCAAGUUUCGAGAUAACGUAAAAUGUGUCGUCAAAAACCUGUAGUUCAGGAGGGUUACCAAGUCCCCUCAAAUUGCGUGGUGAGCUAAAAAAUAAAUCUCAUUGUGAGGGAGGUCAUUCUAAUUAUUCUUUUUUGAAUUGUUCAGCGUGAUUUUUGCUAACAAUUCUUCUAUAUUCAUAACUCGUCGUCCAGAAGGAUAUCUCGUUCAGAACUCGUCGUCCAAGUCCUCUCAAGUUGCGGGGUAACGCGAAAUGUGUCUACAGAACUUGUAGUUCAGAAGGUUUACUAAGUCCCCUAAAAAUUGCAUGGUGACGCAAAAUAUAGCUCAUUGAGAAGUAGGUUAUUCUGAUUUUUCUUUUCGGAUUUUUCAGCGUAGUUUAUGCCAACAAUUCUUAUGUACUCUGAACUCGUCGUCCGGAAGGUUUACCAUGCCCUCUAAGGUUGCGAGGUAACGUAAAAUGUGUCGUCAGAACUUGUAGUUCAAGAGGUUUACCAAGUCCCCUCAAAUUUCGUGGUGACGCAAAAUGUAUCAUUGUAAGGUGGGUCAUUCUAAUGUUUCUUUUGGGAUUUUUCAGCGUGAUUUACGCUAACAAUCAUUAUAUAUUCAGAACUCGUAGUUCAUAAGGUUUUCCAAGUCCUCACAAGUUGUGAGGUAACGUAAAAUAUGUCGUCAAAACGUGUAGUUCAGGAGUACCAAGUCCCCUCCAACUGCGUGGUGAGGCAAAAAAUAAAUCUCAUUGAGAAGUUGGUCAUUCUAAUGUUUCUUUUAGAAUUUUUCAGCGUAAUUUUUGCUAACAAUCCUCAGAACUUGUAGUCCAGAAGAUUUACCAAGUCCUCUAAAGUCGCGUUGUGUCAUAAGAACUUGUUCAGGUGGUUUACCAAGUCCCCUCAAAUUGCGUGGCGACGCAAAUAUAUCAAUGCAUUGUAAAGUAGGAGAAGUUGGUCAUUCUAAUGUUUCUUUUGUGAUUAAAUCUUAAUGUGUUCAAAACUAGCAGUUAGUCUCAGAGGUCCACCAUAAUCUCUCAAGUUACAAAUCCUGCCGAAAACCGAAUAAGUCCGUCUAAUCUUUCAUUUUAGGUUAAUUUACAACAGUUUUUUUUU